rnacentral:rRNA from 1 species
ACGUAGGGUGCGAGCGUUAAUCGGAAUUACUGGGCGUAAAGCGUGCGCAGGCGGUUUGAUAAGACAGGCGUGAAAUCCCCGGGCUCAACCUGGGAACUGCGUUUGUGACUGUCUCACUAGAGUACGGCAGAGGGGGGUGGAAUUCCACGUGUAGCAGUGAAAUGCGUAGAGAUGUGGAGGAACACCAAUGGCGAAGGCAGCCCCCUGGGUCGAUACUGACGCUCAUGCACGAAAGCGUGGGUAGCAAACAG